rnacentral:rRNA from 1 species
CUACGUGCCAGCAGCCGCGGUAAUACGUAUGUCACAAGCGUUAUCCGGAUUUAUUGGGCGUAAAGCGCGUCUAGGUGGUUAUGUAAGUCUGAUGUGAAAAUGCAGGGCUCAACUCUGUAUUGCGUUGGAAACUGUGUAACUAGAGUACUGGAGAGGUAAGCGGAACUACAAGUGUAGAGGUGAAAUUCGUAGAUAUUUGUAGGAAUGCCGAUGGGGAAGCCAGCUUACUGGACAGAUACUGACGCUAAAGCGCGAAAGCGUGGGUAGCAAACAGGAUUAGAUACCCUGGUAGUCCACGCCGUAAACGAUGAUUACUAGGUGUUGGGGGUCGAACCUCAGCGCCCAAGCAAACGCGAUAAGUAAUCCGCCUGGGGAGUACGUACGCAAGUAUGAAACUCAAAGGAAUUGACGGGGACCCGCACAAGCGGUGGAGCAUGUGGUUUAAUUCGACGCAACGCGAGGAACCUUACCAGCGUUUGACAUC